UACAGAGGGGGCAAGCGUUGUUCGGAAUUACUGGGCGUAAAGCGUGCGCAGGCGGUGAUGUAAGACAGUUGUGAAAUCCCCGGGCUCAACCUGGGAACUGCAUCUGUGACUGCAUUGCUGGAGUGCGGCAGAGGGGGAUGGAAUUCCGCGUGUAGCAGUGAAAUGCGUAGAUAUGCGGAGGAACACCGAUGGCGAAGGCAAUCCCCCUGGGCCUGCACUGACGCUCAUGCACGAAAGCGUGGGGAGCAAACAGG
rnacentral:rRNA from 1 species